rnacentral:ncRNA from 1 species
AAUCCACCGGAUGCUUACGAGCAGAAAAGGGAUUAAAUCACGUUAUCUAGAGGAAAGGAGAAGUUGUAACAAAGUAACGGUAGGUGAACCUCCCGUUGGAUCAGUU